rnacentral:rRNA from 1 species
AUUGAACGCUGGCGGCAUGCUCUACACAUGCAAGUCGAACGGUAACAGGCCGCAAGGUGCUGACGAGUGGCGAACGGGUGAGUAAUGCAUCGGAACGUGCCCAGUCGUGGGGGAUAACUACUCGAAAGAGUAGCUAAUACCGCAUACGAUCUAUGGAUGAAAGCGGGGGACCGUAAGGCCUCGCGCGAUUGGAGCGGCCGAUGUCAGAUUAGGUAGUUGGUGGGGUAAAAGCUCACCAAGCCAACGAUCUGUAGCUGGUCUGAGAGGACGACCAGCCACACUGGGACUGAGACACGGCCCAGACUCCUACGGGAGGCAGCAGUGGGGAAUUUUGGACAAUGGGCGCAAGCCUGAUCCAGCAAUGCCGCGUGCAGGAAGAAGGCCUUCGGGUUGUAAACUGCUUUUGUACGGAACGAAACGGCUCUGGUUAAUACCCGGGGCUAAUGACGGUACCGUAAGAAUAAGCACCGGCUAACUACGUG